AAGUUAAGGCUAUGUUGGGGGUGAGGAUUUAAGUUCUUGGGAAUUGAGGUCGAGUUUGUAAAGAGUGGAUCACAAAAAAUUGAUAGGAGGGGUUUAAAAGUACACUCCAUGAUCAUUAGAAAUGUAUGUAAGAGGUAUUUGCAAAUAACAGCUUAAUAAGGAAGAUGAAACAUUAAGGAAAAGACGUGAUAAGAAAUCCAUUGGCAAUAUCAAACAUGUACCUGCCUCACAUCAUACAGACAAGAAAAGAAAAGAAAAGAAACGAAAAGAAAAGAAAAGGAAAGAAAAUAUAUAUGUAGGGCAUGGUUCAAAUCUUGUGUUUGGUAUCACUGCCUUGAAGUAACUUUCUGUCCCGAGUCCAGCAAUAUCCUAGUACAAGAAAAGGGGAGUUCCAUAGCAAGUUAUCAACCUUCAAUUUGUUCAUGGCACCGGAUAAAGUAUUAGAGAAAAUUGGAGCAUUGGUAAAUAUUGUCUUCCACAUAAGAGUUUACGGGUUCGAUAGGUUUUUUGGUUUAGUCAACUGGUGCUGAAGUAUUUUAAUUGGUCCUUUUUGUUUUGUUUUGUUUUUUUUUGUUUUUGUUUUUGUUUUUUUUUUGUGUGGGUGUAAUCGGAACAAUUUAGUGAUUAAAUUUGGACAAAAAAACUAGUUCUUUGCUUGGUCGUCCAAUCAUUUGGUUAGAAGUCGAACUUCAAUUUAAUUUUAACCUCCCCAAUUCUUGACUUGGUUGGUGGCCCACCUACGCACUAGAUCCAACGAAGGAAAGCAAAUCCUUCGUAGCGGCCUCCUGUGCCAAAAAUAAGGAAACACUACCAAAAUUAGAUACAGAUAUUUGGUUCUUCUAUUGCUUAUUUCCCAAUCAAGAUUUUUUGUGAUAUGAAAUAAUGUCAAAUCAAAUGGAAAUAUCUUUAAUCACCAUGAUGCACCUCAUGUUAAAAUAAUUUUUACAAACCAUAGCUUGAUCAACAAGUACUAUAUAGAGACUUCAAAGAUGGAUCUUCCAGUGGCUCCCAAGGACAUCUCCUUACAUUAAAUAAUUACUAGAAUGUGAUAGAUUUGUUGUUGUUCAUUCAUGUCUAUCGAUGCUAAUACAAUGAACUCGAACAACACACUAUUGAGCCCUGCGAGUUAGUGAGAUUUUUAGGUGAAGUCAAAUUUCAUAUCUAAGAGCACGUAAUAUUUGAUUAUGCAUCAAGUAGUGAGUUAGUGAGGGUUUUGAGGUGAAGUCAAAUUUUAUAAGAAACUUUAUAGCUCAAUUCCUCAUUAGGGUUUCUAAGAGGUAAGUAGAGAAAGCACAAGCUCUCUCCUUCUCUCUAGGAGGCCGGCCACAUGAAGAGGAAGAUACUACCAUCUUCUUCCUCAAUCAUCCUUUGUUUCAAAACUUGAAGGUUCUCUACCUUGGGAACUUUUGGAGAAUUCAUUCAAGCAUCCAAAUCUAAGAAUCCAAGAAGCAAAAGAUGGAGAUGAAGGCUACAAAGUGCAACUCAAGGAGAUGAGUGGAGGCCUUCAAAGCCUCCUUGAGUUGAGAUUUGAAUUCAAAUGUAUAAAGAAAUCUCAACUCUUUAUGUGAAUUAGAGAGGUUCUUUGGUUAACCACACUACUAGGUUUGAAAUUUCAUGGUUAAGUUUUAUUUUUUAGUGCAUACAAGUAUAUUUCCGCCGCUUAUUUGUUAAAUGCAUGCAUAUAUGUUGCUCCAUGAACUGAGAAAUCUUUCGUUCAUUAUGAAACUGUAGUUCCUUGGCUUGAGACAAUGUUUCAUUGUUCCUCCUUAUAAUGACAUUGGUUGUUUAAUGGUAGGAACAUAUUUAAAUUUAUUGAUGAACUUGUUUAUCCAAACAACCUCUGGACUAGCAUAAGUAGCGGCAUAAUAUUCUGCUUCACAGCUCUUUCAUUCAAAAUGAAGACGCAUCCAUCCUUAUGUAGACUUAACACUUUACAGAUUUCAUAUGGUCAAAAUCAGAUGAGUAGACUUUCACCAACUUCUCAUCAGUAAGUUUUUCCUUAUUUUGUGUACUCCUAAUAAAGAAUCCUCAAUUAUUUAGAAGGAAAGUUAUUUAUCCUGAAUUUAGUUAAUCCAUAAAAAAAAUCUUUUCCUAUAAUAAUCGCUAACUCGACAAACUUAAGACUAAUACAUGAACCCAAGUUAAUUCAUGUGAAUACAUGCAAUUACUACAUGUUUAAUGUAUACAUUAAAUCCUAAUCUACUUAAUUUAAUGAGGAGUUGACACUCAGUACUAUGGUCUGGUGGUAUUCCUCUUCACUUGAAAGUGAGAUGUCUUAGGUUCGAAUCUCGUGGAUAGUGAAUUUGAUACCAAAUUAGGCUACCAAUUGUGUGGUUUAACCGAACUUCCCAUUCCUUCAGUGUAAAAAUAUCGAUGUAUUAAAAAAAAAGAGUAGGAGUUAAGAUUAUUCUCAACACAAGAGCCAAGAUAUCAUAAUAUAAGGUGCUUUAGAUUUUGGCCCUUACAACUCAUUAUUUCUAGAUAAAAACCCAUCUAUCUUUAAAGAUCCAGUUUAAGCUCAAAUUUAAAAUUUGCAAAUAUAUGGGAACACUAUUGACCUAUUAAUACAAUUUAUUUACACUCAUGCCACUCAUACUGUGUGGUCCAUUUUCCAAAUUCCUAAAUUUGUGCCAAAUUAAAAGUAGUAGAAAAAAUUGAAAUAAAAUGUAAAAAGUGUUUGCAUUAACCGUCUCCAUGUCAAACUAGAAAAGUAGUUUUUUUUUUCAUGAUAUAUUUUGUAGCAAUUUUACCCAUAUUAAUUGGUAGGUAAAUUAGUUUGUUCCAAUUAUUUAAAAAAAAAUAAUACUACACCUAUAUUAUAUAUUUUGAAUCAAAUAACAUUCCUCUAACUUGUAGGUAAAUUAUUUUCUAUGUAUUGUUAUAUAUUUUAGACACGUUCUGUUGUUGUAUAAACAUGAGUGGAACAUAAUAUUGUUGAUUUUAUACAUCAAACAACAUUUCUUUUGUUAUAGGUAAAUUAUUUUCCAUGUACAAGUACUUAUGUUAGACACGUUUUGUUGUUGGUACAUACAAUAUUUUGUAUCAUUGUAAAUAAAAAUAUUACAUUACACCCAUGGUAUAAUUGUUGUAUGUAAAUUAUUGGAAAUUAAUUUGUAGUUAGGUAAUGAACAUUUUGCAUCAUUAGAAAUGAACAUUUCAAAUAGUAGGUAGGUAAAUUAAUUUGUUCUAAUUAUAUAAAAAAAAUUACACUACACCUAGUUAUAUUUAAUUUUUUCAAUCAUUAAAAACAUUUAUACUACACCCAACCAAAUAACAUUUAUCUAACUUGUAGGUAAAUUAUUUUUCAUGUAUUGUUAGAUAUGUUAGGCACGUUUUAUUGUUGUAUAAACAUGAAUGUAACAUAGUAUUUUUAAUAGUAUGCAUCGAACUACAUUUCUUCUUAAGAUAGGUAAAUUAUAUUCCAUGUAUUAGUACAUAUGUUAGGCACGUUUUGUUGUUGGUAUAAACAUUAUUUUGCAUCAUUGUAAAAAAGAGAUAUUAUAUUACACCCAUGGUAUAAUUGUUGUAGGUAAAUUAAUGUGCAUGUAGAUAAUGAAAUACAAUGUUCUAAUAUAUUAAUAAAAAAAGGGUAAAUUCAAAAGUAUUCAAGAGUAGGGUGAAAAAAACUAAAUCAAAUAGUUUUAUGAAAAUUCAAAGCAAUAAAUUUUUAACAUUAAUGUCUUUUUUUUUCUUGUUGCAAAAUCAUUUACUCUCUCCUUACAAUUAAUUGUCUACAUCAAAUAUGUAAUAGGGGUAUUUUAGGCAUGUGAAAAAUGUAAAAUGUGUGAAGUAAUAUGAAAUUAAUGAAUUUGCUUAUGUGGAUCCUAGUCAUUGGGUUUUCUUUGAGUAAAAAAGUUAUGUAGGGGUUUAUAUGAAGAAAAUUGAGUUGGUAGGGCUAAAAUCAUAUUUUCAGCAUAAUAUAUAAUAGGGUAAUACUUGGGUACUGACUGUUCAGUACCUAAAAUUUACUGACUCCAAUAAAUCAAAGACACCUGUCCAAUUUCAAGUCUCAAAUCACACAACCAAACACCCCUUGUUCUGCAAACCAAACAUCCUUCUUCUCUAUCUUCGCCCACAGUUUGCUCCAAACCAGCAAAAACGUUGCAAAUCUUUCCCAAAAGUUAUUACGCAUCUAAUUGAACCCAUACGAUUUAACUUUAUAAAAAAGAGUUUCAUGCUCUUCCUUGAGGUUCUUUUUCACCCACUGAUUGUAACCACUAUGGAGAUCCAUAUUAAUUAAUGGCACAAAAUGUGGCUUCAGGAUCUUGCUCGUCGCCACAAACAUCACCAGGUUGAGAUCAAAUGGAAAAAAAUGACUCUCCGAAUUGAUGAUGACAUGUUGCGAUCAUUGCCAUUGUCCAUAAUGGAGGAUGAUGAUCGCAGUCCUGUAGAAGAAAGGGAUUGUGGUCACUAGAUAAGACAGGGGUUGCG
rnacentral:lncRNA from 1 species